rfam:Candidatus Thrbacteria bacterium RIFCSPLOWO2_02_FTLL_48_18 rifcsplowo2_02_scaffold_23, whole genome shotgun sequence.
GCGAGCGUGGCGGAAUUGGUAUACGCACUAGCCUUAGGAGCUAGCGGAGCAAUCCAUGAGAGUUCGAGUCUCUCCGCUCGCA